rnacentral:sRNA from 1 species
UACUACUUGUAAGACCUCAACAAAGGG